rnacentral:rRNA from 1 species
UACGUAGGGUGCGAGCGUUGUCCGGAAUUAUUGGGCGUAAAGGGCUCGUAGGCGGUUUGUCGCGUCGGGAGUGAAAACUCAAGGCUUAACCCUGAGCCUGCUUCCGAUACGGGCAGACUAGAGGUAUGCAGGGGAGAACGGAAUUCCUGGUGUAGCGGUGAAAUGCGCAGAUAUCAGGAGGAACACCGGUGGCGAAGGCGGUUCUCUGGGCAUUACCUGACGCUGAGGAGCGAAAGUGUGGGGAGCGAACAGG